CUACGUGCCAGCAGCCGCGGUAAUACGUAGGUCUCAAGCGUUAUCCGGAUUUACUGGGCGUAAAGUGUCCGUAGUCUGAUCUGUAAGUCAGUUUUCAAAUCCUACGACUCAAUCGUAGAAAGGGAAUGGAUACUGCAGAUCUAGAAGUAUCUAGGGGUUAGUGGAAUUUCCGGUGGAGCGGUGAAAUGCGUUGAUAUCGGAAGGAACGCCGAAAGCGAAAGCAGCUAACUAUAGAAUACUUGACGAUGAGGGACGACAGUUUGGGGAGCAAACAGGAUUAGAUACCCUGGUAGUCCAAACCGUAAAUUAUGCUUGCUAGAUGUUUUUAUCAAUUUAUUGGUAGGAGUGUCGUAAUCUAACGAGUUAAGCAAGCCGCCUGGGUAGUAUAUUCGCAAGAAUGAAACUCAAAGGGAUAGGCGGGGGAACACACAAGCAGUGGAUUAUCUAGAUUAAUUGGAUAAUAAGCCAAGGAUCUUACCUAGGAUUGACAU
rnacentral:rRNA from 1 species